GUAGGCGUACACGGAGAACGGCUGGCGGGCACUAGCCUAAUACAUGCAAGUCGAGCAACGGAUGAGGAGCUUGCUCCUCUGACGUUAGCGGCGAAUGGGUGAGUAACACUGGGCAACCUGCCCUGUAUUGGGGAUAACUCGGGAAACCGGGGCUAAUACCGAAUGAUUAAUUCUUUCUCAUGAAAGGAUUCUGAAAGACGGCUUCGGCUGUCGCUACGGGAUGGGCCCGCGGCGCAUUAGCUAGUUGGUAAGGUAACGGCUUACCAAGGCGACGAUGCGUAGCCGACCUGAGAGGGUGAUCGGCCACACUGGGACUGAGACACGGCCCAGACUCCUACGGGAGGCAGCAGUAGGGAGUCAUCCACAAUGGACGAAAGUCUGACGGUGCAAUGCCGCGUGAGCGAAGAAGGUUUUCGGAUCGUAAAGCUCUGUUAUGAGGGAAGAACAAGUACAAGAGUAACUGCUUGUACCUUGACGGUACCUCAUUAGAAAGCUACGGCUAACUACGUG
rnacentral:rRNA from 1 species